CGCUGGCGGCACGCCUAACACAUGCAAGUCGAACGAAGUAGCAAUACUUAGUGGCAGACGGGUGAGUAACAUGUAGGUAUCUACCCUAUGGCCUGGAAUAACACGAGGAAACUUGUGCUAAUACUGGAUAAGUCUUUACGGAGAAAGCUUUAUGCACCAUUGGAUGAGCCUGCACUUGAUUAGUUUGUUGGUAGGGUAAUGGCCUACCAAGACUUUGAUCAAUAGCUGAUUUGAGAGGAUGAUCAGCCACAUUGGGACUGAGACACGGCCCAAACUCCUACGGGAGGCAGCAGUGGGGAAUCUUGCACAAUGGAGGAAACUCUGAUGCAGCGAUGCCGCGUGAGUGAAGAAGGCCCUUGGGUUGUAAAGCUCUUUCGUCGGGGAAGAAAAUGACUGUACCCGAAUAAGAAGGUCCGGCUAACUUCGUGCCAGCAGCCGCGGUAAUACGAAGGGACCUAGCGUAGUUCGGAAUUACUGGGCUUAAAGAGUUCGUAGGUUGUUAAAAUAGUUGGUGGUGAAAUCCCAGAGCUUAACUCUGGAACUGCCAUCAAAACUUUUUAGCUAGAGUAUGAUAGAGGAAAGCAGAAUUUCUAGUGUAGAGGUGAAAUUCGUAGAUAUUAGAAAGAAUACCAAUUGCGAAGGCAGCUUUCUGGAUCAUUACUGACGCUGAGGAACGAAAGCAUGGGUAGCGAAGAGGAUUAGAUACCCUCGUAGUCCAUGCCGUAAACGAUGUGUGUUAGACGUUGGAGAUUUAUCUUCAGUGUCGCAGCGAAAGCGAUAAACACACCGCCUGGGGAGUACGACC
rnacentral:rRNA from 1 species